UCCUCCUUACAGAGGCAGUUCGGUUCGAGUUCCCACCAUUAUGUGCUGGUAACAAACCGUGAGGGUUGCGCUCGUUGCGGGACUUAACCCAACAUUUCACAACACGAGCUGACGACAGCCAUGCACCACCUGUGACUCACCCUCGAAGGCGACUUGCUUUCACAAGCUUGCAGAGCCAUGUCAAGCCCUGGUAAGGUUCUUCGCGUUGCAUCGAAUUAAGCCACAUGCUCCACCGCUUGUGCGGGCCCCCGCCAAUUCCUUUGAGUUUCAACCUUGCGGCCGUAGUCCCCAGGCGGUUCACUUAAUGCGUUAGCUGCGGCACCGAGGGUUACCCCCCAACACCUAGUGAACAUAGUUUAGGGCCAAGACUAC
rnacentral:misc_RNA from 1 species